CCGACCGCCACACUGGUGGCCCAUGCAGGUCUCUCAAUAUAUAGUGUCUCCUCAGUAAAGAUCUAAGCUGAAGGGGGAAUUUGUUUGGAGUAGACUGUGGUUCUCUGAUUGGGGGGCCUACUGUUGCAGAGGGAGUGAACUUUAGUCUCACAUCGGUUGUUCAGUCAGACAAUCUUAUCUUAUUAGGUCUGGAGCCCCCUUCUCACGUGAGGCACCAUUUUCAAAGACAAAGCCAUGCGUUCUCAUGCGCGUUAGGGGCCAUAGCCUAUCCCGUAUGGGUCUGGGUCC
rnacentral:lncRNA from 1 species